rnacentral:rRNA from 1 species
GACUAACGCUGGCGGCGUGCCUAACACAUGCAAGUCGAACGAAGCAGCAAUGCUUAGUGGCAGACGGGUGAGUAACGCGUAGAUAAUGUGCCCUCUUGCGGGGGAUACCGUUUCGAAAGGAACGUUAAUACCGCAUAACACCUUCGGUGGGCAUCCAUCGAGGGUCAAACUUCCGGGGCGGGAGGAGCAAUCUGCGUUCUAUCAGGUAGUUGGUGAGGUAACGGCUCACCAAGCCUACGACGGAUAACUGGUCUGAGAGGAUGAUCAGUCACACUGGAACUGAGACACGGUCCAGACUCCUACGGGAGGCAGCAGUGAGGAAUAUUGCGCAAUGGGCGAAAGCCUGACGCAGCGACGCCGCGUGGAGGAUGAAGGCCUUCGGGUUGUAAACUCCUGUCAGUGGGGAAGAGAAUGGACGGUACCCACUGAGGAAGCUUCGGCUAACUACGUG